rnacentral:rRNA from 1 species
AGUUUGAUCAUGGCUCAGAUUGAACGCUGGCGGCAUGCCUUACACAUGCAAGUCGAACGGCAGCACGGGAGCUUGCUCCUGGUGGCGAGUGGCGAACGGGUGAGUAAUGCAUCGGAACGUGCCCUGAAGUGGGGGAUAACGUAGCGAAAGUUACGCUAAUACCGCAUAUUCUGUGAGCAGGAAAGCAGGGGGAUCUUCGGACCUUGCGCUUUUGGAGCGGCCGAUGUCGGAUUAGCUAGUUGGUGGGGUAAAGGCCCACCAAGGCGACGAUCCGUAGCGGGUCUGAGAGGAUGAUCCGCCACACUGGAACUGAGACACGGUCCAGACUCCUACGGGAGGCAGCAGUGGGGAAUUUUGGACAAUGGGCGCAAGCCUGAUCCAGCCAUGCCGCGUGAGUGAAGAAGGCCUUCGGGUUGUAAAGCUCUUUCGACGGGAAGAAAUUGCUUGGGUUAAUACCCUGAGUAGAUGACGGUACCCGCAUAAGAAGCACCGGCUAACUACGUG